rnacentral:rRNA from 1 species
UACAGCGGGAAGCCAGGCGGCGACGCCGAGCGGAACCCGAAAACCUAGUCUCAGUUCGGAUCGGAGUCUGCACCCGACUCCGUGAAGCUGGAUUCGCUAGUAAUCGCGCAUCAGCCAUGGCGCGGUGAAUACGUUCCCGGGCCUUGUACACACCGCCCGUCAAGCCAUGGAAGCCGGGGGUGCCUGAAGUGUGCAGCCGCAAGGAGCGCCCUAAGGUAAAACCGGUGACUGGGGCUAAGUCGUAACAAGGUAUC